AGUGAACGCUGGCGGUAGGCCUAACACAUGCAAGUCGAACGGCAGCACAGUAAGAGCUUGCUCUUACGGGUGGCGAGUGGCGGACGGGUGAGGAAUACAUCGGAAUCUACUUUUUCGUGGGGGAUAACGUAGGGAAACUUACGCUAAUACCGCAUACGACCUACGGGUGAAAGCAGGGGAUCUUCGGACCUUGCGCGAUUGAAUGAGCCGAUGUCGGAUUAGCUAGUUGGCGGGGUAAAGGCCCACCAAGGCGACGAUCCGUAGCUGGUCUGAGAGGAUGAUCAGCCACACUGGAACUGAGACACGGUCCAGACUCCUACGGGGAGCAGCAGUGGGGAAUAUUGGGCGAUGGGGCCAAGCCUGAUCCAGCCAUACCGGGUGGGUGAAGAAGGCCUUCGGGUUGGAAAGCCCUUUUGGUGGGAAAGAAAAGCAGCAGGUUAAUACCCCGCUGUUCUGACGGUACCCAAAGAAUAAGCACCGGCUAACUUCGUG
rnacentral:rRNA from 1 species